rnacentral:sRNA from 1 species
UCAGUAAAGCGAAGGGGGAUGAUUGUGU